CAAAAUGUAGCUUAACAAAAGCCCCUCGCUUACACCCAGGAGAUACCUGUUUGAUCCAGAUCAUUUUGA
rnacentral:tRNA from 1 species